AUCAGGAUGGCCGAGCGGUCUAAAGGCUGCGUUCAGGUCGCAGUCUACUCUUGUAGGCGAGGGUUCGAAUCCCACUUCUAACA
rnacentral:tRNA from 1 species